UUAGCUUCGAGUUCAUGAAUACUUUGCAUUUCCCUGUGGCACAAUUUGAAUCAGAGAGAGAGAGAGAUAGCGGUAGAUUGACAGGCGGAUUGGAGCGGCGUCAGCAGUGAUGCGGACGCUUAACCGAUCUGUUGUGGUGAAGAACGAGCUGAGCCGUAAGGCGAGACUCUUGAUUUACCGGUCGAUCUACGUGCCGAUCCUCACCUAUGGUCAUGAAGUUUGGGUGAUCACCGAAAGAACAAGAUCGUGGAUACAAGCGAUCGAAAUGUGUUUCCUUGGAGAUAGGGUAAGGAGCUUGGACACUCAGGAGGCGCUCAGAGUAGAACCGCUGCUCCUCCACGUCGAGAGGAGUCAGCGAAGGUGGCUCGGGCAUCUGGUAAGGACGCCUUCUGGACGCCUCCCGUUAGAGGUGGCCUCGUGGACCAGGACCAGGAGGAGGGAUUAUAUCUCUAUCGCCUGGGAAUCCCCCGGAAGAGCUGGUGGAAGUGGCUGGGGUGAGGGCCAUCUGGGCUUACCUCCUGAAGCUGCUGCCCCCGCGACCCAGACCCGGAUAAGCGGAAGAAAACGACGAUGACGACAAUUUGAAUCGUUAAAUACCUGAAAUACCUUUACAAACACUGGCAGACAGCCAGGUUAAUUCAUGUCAGCAGUUAUCUACCUGUAAAAUAUUUGAAAUGAGACACUGUGCAUGUGGUUCUUUAUUUAUUAACUUUCCCCUUUAAUUAAAAGUGAAUAGCUGUUGUCCAUCAAAUGUACUGCAGGUCAAUGAAUAGGUUAAUAGAAAAUGUCUAAAUACGCCCUUAUUAUCCCUUGGGUGGUCUCUCAGAGUGGUAAUAAAAACGUCCUGGACAUAAUUACACAAAUGCUUGUCCAGCCAGUAAAAUGAGCUUGUUAGCAUCAUUGCAUGAAUGCUUUAUAAUAGAGGCUUCUCAUGGAAGCAUUGCUGAGAUGCCAGGUGUCACAUACUGUACCCAAAGACCAACCACAAGAACGUCGCACCCACGUGCUAUUUCAGCCACCCACUGUAGCACACAUUUCAGGCCGGGGCGGACUGCUCGCCGGAGAGUACGCCCAAAAUUCUGAAAACAAACAUUACCUUAUUUUAUUUUUAAAUGCUCUGCCCGGCAUUUAUAGGCACCGAGCUCGAUUUUCACAUAAACCACCAGUCAAGAGAAAUGUUUUGACAAUGACAAAUGAAAAUAAGUAUGUUGAGAGCAGCUCAGACAGAGUGGUGUAUAUUAGGUGAGUGGGAUCACCGCGGCGCGUUUACUUUUCUUUUUCCGUCCAGGUCUUUCACUGCGUUUAACGGCGCGGGAUGACAGAUGAUACACGUUUACAUAACAUUAGUCUUUGCGUUGCUCAGAAAGCAGGACGCAGAGUUACACACUUCUCAGUUUUGAUUGUCUCUCUCCUCUUUUUUCAAAAAUGUGUUUAAUGACAGCUAUGCGAGCAUGCCGUAACGCAUUCGCUGCCCUGCAGUGGAACACGGAGCCUGCCAAAGCGGUUGCGAAACCACCCUGCGCCACGGCUCUGACAGGAAUUUCCCAUCGCCCCAUUAUCAGCAUCAGACAAGCUGAGUGAUUGCAAUUACAUCUGCCCAAAUGCUAAGAGCAACUGC